CAGGUACCUGCAUUAAUGUUAGUGGAAGUGCAUCAUAAUUAUAGACGCGUACCUUAUAGAUUUAGCUAAUAGUCGGUACGGAAUCAUGUGGGAUGUAGUGUUGCUGCUGGGGUCAUGUUUCUGCAGCCCAGGCUACAUAUUAGGUUUGUAACAAGUAUAUCUCUACCUGGCGACCUGGAAAACUAUAGUGCCAUAAAAUAAAUUAUA